GACAGAGGUGCCAAGCGUUAGGCGGAAUCACUGGGCUUAAAGCGUGUGUAGGCGGAUUCCUAAGUACCUUGUGAAAUCCCACGGCUCAACCGUGGAACUGCUCGGUAUACUGGGUAUCUUGAGCCACUUAGGGGCGACCGGAACAAAUGGUGGAGCGGUGAAAUGCGCAGAUAUCGGAAGGAACACCAGUGGCGAAGGCGACUUACUGGUCCGAUACUGACGCUGAGGCGCGAAAGCGUGGGGAGCAAACAGG
rnacentral:rRNA from 1 species